AUGGAGUGCGAGAACAGAGCGCACGUCGCCGCCAACGGCGAUGGCUUGUGCGUGGCGCAGCCGGCGCGGGCCGACCCCUUGAACUGGGGGAAGGCGGCAGAGGAGCUGUCCGGGAGCCAUCUUGACGCGGUGAAGCGCAUGGUCGAGGAGUACCGUAGGCCGGUGGUGACCAUGGAGGGCGCCAGCCUGACCAUCGCCAUGGUCGCCGCGGUGGCCGCCGGCUGCGACACCAGGGUGGAGCUCGACGAGUCUGCCCGUGGCCGCGUCAAGGAGAGCAGUGACUGGGUCAUGAACAGCAUGGCCAACGGAACCGACAGCUACGGCGUCACCACCGGCUUCGGCGCUACUUCUCACCGGAGGACCAAGGAGGGGGGCGCUCUCCAGCGGGAGCUCAUCAGAUUUCUUAAUGCCGGAGCCUUCGGCACUGGUGGCCACGACCAUGUCCUCCCCGCCGCGACGACAAGGGCUGCGAUGCUAGUCCGCGUCAACACCCUGCUCCAGGGGUACUCCGGCAUCCGCUUCGAGAUACUCGAGACGAUCUCCAAACUUCUCAACGCCGACGUGACACCAUGCCUGCCGCUCCGAGGCACGAUUACCGCGUCUGGUGACCUCGUCCCGCUUUCCUAUAUUGCGGGCCUGGUGACCGGCCGGGCAAACUCCGUGGCCACGGCUCUAGACGGCAGCAAGGUUAACGCAGCCGAGGCGUUCAAGAUCGCUGGCAUCCAGCAUGGCUUCUUCGAGUUGCAGCCCAAGGAAGGGCUUGCCAUGGUGAACGGCACGGCUGUUGGCUCGGGGCUCGCGUCCAUCGUUCUUUUCGAGGCUAACAUUCUCGGCGUCCUUGCUGAGGUUCUGUCGGCAGUUUUCUGCGAGGUCAUGAACGGCAAGCCGGAGUACACCGAUCACUUGACCCACAAGUUGAAGCACCAUCCUGGGCAGAUUGAGGCUGCCGCCAUCAUGGAGCACAUCCUUGAAGGAAGCUCCUACAUGGCACUCGCGAAGAAGCUCGGCGAGCUCGACCCGUUGAUGAAGCCAAAGCAAGACAGGUACGCGCUUCGCACAUCGCCGCAGUGGCUUGGCCCCCAAAUUGAGGUCAUCCGUGCUGCCACGAAGUCGAUUGAGCGGGAGAUCAACUCCGUCAACGACAACCCACUCAUCGACGUCUCCCGUGGCAAGGCCAUCCAUGGCGGAAACUUUCAAGGCACGCCCAUCGGCGUGUCCAUGGACAACACAAGGCUUGCCAUUGCCGCGAUUGGCAAGCUCAUGUUUGCGCAGUUCUCAGAGCUGGUGAACGACUUCUACAAUAACGGUCUACCUUCAAACCUCUCUGGCGGCCGAAACCCAAGCUUGGACUAUGGCCUCAAGGGUGCUGAGAUUGCCAUGGCCUCGUACUGCUCUGAGCUCCAAUUCCUAGGCAACCCGGUGACCAACCAUGUCCAGAGCGCGGAGCAACACAACCAAGAUGUCAACUCUCUCGGUCUCAUAUCUGCUAGGAAGACCGCUGAAUCCAUUGACAUACUAAAGCUCAUGUCCUCGACAUUCUUGGUCGCGUUGUGCCAGGCCAUUGACCUCCGCCACCUCGAGGAAAAUGUCAAGGAUGCGGUCAAGAGCUGUGUGAAGACGGUGGCCAAGAAGACACUAAGCACCAACAACAAUGGCCAUCUCCACAACGCACGCUUCUGCGAGAAGGACCUGCUACUCACAAUCGACCGCGAGGCAGUAUUCACAUACGCAGACGACCCUUGCAGCGCCAACUACCCAUUGAUGCAGAAGAUGCGAGCUGUUCUUGUGGAGCACGCCCUGGCCAAUGGUGAUGCCGAGCACGAUGUGGAGACGUCGGUUUUUGCUAAGCUUGCCAUGUUUGAGCAGGAGCUGCGUGUUGUGCUGCCGAAGGAGGUCGAGGCUGCCCGGAGUGCUGUGGAGAAUGGCACCGCUGAGCAGCAGAACCGUAUCACCGAGUGCCGGUCAUACCCGCUCUACCGGUUCGUCCGCAAGGAGCUUGGGACUGAGUACUUAACUGGGGAGAAGACACGAUCUCCUGGAGAAGAGGUGGACAAGGUGUUCAUCGCCAUGAACCAGGGCAAGCACAUAGACGCGCUGCUCGAAUGCCUCAAGGAGUGGAAUGGUGAGCCACUACCUAUCUGCUGA
rnacentral:rRNA from 1 species